GCCCUAUCGUCUAGAGGCCUAGGACAUCGCCCUUUCACGGCGGUAACCGGGGUUCGAAUCCCCGUAGGGACGCCA
rnacentral:tRNA from 1 species